rnacentral:rRNA from 1 species
GAGCGAAGGGGGCUAGCGUUGUUCGGAAUUAGCUAGGGCGUAAAGCGAGUGUAGGUGGUUGUCGUAGUCAGGUAGUGAAAGCCUUGAGCUACAACUCAAGAAAUGCACUUGGAUACUGGCAGCUAGAGGACCGGAGAGGAUAGUGGAAUUCCCAGUGUAGUAGGUGAAAUACGGUAGAGAGUUGGGAAAGAACACCAGUGGCGA